UAAUACUAUUAAUUCGGAUUGGGAUCGGUUCAAUUCUUCGAAUUCGAGUUUUUUACCCAAUCUUAAAUAGUGACAUAAAAAUCAAAUAGCAUCAUAUUUUCUUUAAAGAAAAUACACCCGCACGGGCGUGCGGGUCAAAACCUAGUUAAGCAUUAUGGUGAAAGCCUAUUAAUGAUUACUAAAAGUUUAAGAUGAGAUCAGUCACAUAAAGAGUAAUUACUAAAAUUAAUUAAGGGUUAAAUACUAAAUGUACUUCAGCUUUAAUAGUUUAGAUAGAUAGAUUGAUAUAAUAACUUUAAUCAUUGCAAUUAACAAUCAACAUUUUCCACGAAUCAAGAUGUUAACGAUGCGGAAAUCAUGUAGUUACGCACCAUGAUUACCUCACUAAUCCCUCACAUUAUCCUAAUACGUCACAGUUGAUACGGACCAGAAUAUCUUUCAUAAUUAAAUAAGUUCAGCUGGCUUGUCCCUUUUAUCUUCUGGUUUAUCACAGUAAAUCCACGCUAAGGAGUUUUCAAAAAAAGAAAAGUAAAAAGUCAUUAAAUCAUGGAGUUGCUCCUAUGUUAAGGAACACUAGAAUUGGUUUGGAAGUUACCAAGUCAGACACAAGUGUUAGCUAGCAAGCUCCUCCUAAUUGGGCAACAAAAAUUACCCAAUAAGUCAUUAUUCUACAAGCUUACCUUCCUAAAGCACUUUCAGUCUCACCAUCUGUGGAAAGAACCAGUGCAAACAAGAGAUACCACAGAACAUGUCAACAUGUAUUUCUGAAAUUUAUGUUGUAUAUGUGACUCUCCAUUCUCGUACUUAUGCACCUAGUAGUAGUUUUUACACAAUCACUAAAAAUUGAUCAAGAACAUCUUCAAAUCCUUCAUUCAUUUCCCUAUUAUUUUUGCGAAGAAUGUUAAAAUAUCAUUUCAUGAAAUAAAAGUCAAAAUUACAAAAUGUGCUCAACCAGAUGUAGAAUUUAUAUACUUGAUUCCAAGGCAAGCAUGGUAAAAACAUAAAAGUAAACAUAAUUGAUACAAUAGCGAUUUAGCUUUGUAUCGAACAUGACUAGAGCAGCGAUACAAAAAGAAACGAGAGAUGUCAAGACAAACACUAAAGGAAAAGCUCGAAGACAAAGUGAAUAACAAAACAUCAAAGCGUACAAGAAACUGAUUAUCAACCUAAGUCAUUUCUCCAAAGAAGCAGAAGGAUGCCACUUGAGGAUCGCACUUGUAAUUACCAAAGGAAAACAGAAUAACUUCACAUUUUCCCAAAGUAAUCUUAUAUAUCAACUUUUGAUAUCAAGAUAAGAAUCAAGUCAAAGUGGUUAAAAAUAUAAUUUCUUUUGAGAUCAAGAUAGUAAUUAGUACCGUAGGAAAACUGUGAGGAGCACUGGGUGACUUUACAAAUGCAAAGCAUCGAUAUCUUUAUGUUAUCUCAUUUCAAAGUGGUUCAAAAUAUAUAUUUCUUUUUUAAUAAUUAAAAAGGAAAAGUAAAAGAAUUUAACUUUUUCUGCGGCAAAUGAGAUCCUUGUCAAGAAGGUAGAGCCAGUUUCAUCUAAUGAUCAUAUGAAGAAGCAAGUUUCUUCUAGAAAGUCUUAUGGAGGAAACUUGGUUAAAGGGUCUGUUAAGGAUGAGACUAAUGAUUGCUCCAGUGAUGGUUAUGUGAAGAAGGAAGUCAAGCCUGAGAAUGUUGAGUUCGAGGGUGGUUUUGAUACGGGGACUAAUGAGUUUAGAACCGUGUGUAACGUAGAACGUGUUGUGCCUGAGAGUACAAUGGUCUUACUUGCGAGAAUGUUAAGCUGCUUGCCGCAGGGGACAGACAUGGGAAUGAACACGUAAACUUUGUUUUUUUUUUAAUUCAUACUUAUAAUUUGAGGACAAAAAUGAAUAAUAGAGACUUUUCGAUUUAUAUAAUCAUAUCUUGAGUUUUUUAA